UGAGUAACACGUAUCCAACCUGCCGUCUACUCUUGGCCAGCCUUCUGAAAGGAAGAUUAAUCCAGGAUGGCAUCAUGAGUUCACAUGUCCGCAUGAUUAAAGGUAUUUCCGGUAGACGAUGGGGAUGCGUUCCAUUAGAUAGUAGGCGGGGUAACGGCCCACCUAGUCUACGAUGGAUAGGGGUUCUGAGAGGAAGGUCCCCCACAUUGGAACUGAGACACGGUCCAA
rnacentral:rRNA from 1 species